UACGGAGGAUGCGAGCGUUAUCCGGAUUUAUUGGGUUUAAAGGGUGCGUAGGCGGGCUUUUAAGUCAGCGGUAAAAAUUCGGGGCUCAACCCCGUCCGGCCGUUGAAACUGGGGGUCUUGAGUGGGCGAGAAGAAGGCGGAAUGCGUGGUGUAGCGGUGAAAUGCAUAGAUAUCACGUAGAACCCGGAUUGCGAAGGCAGCCUUCCGGCGCCCUACUGACGCUGAGGCACGAAAGUGCGGGGAUCGAACAGG
rnacentral:rRNA from 1 species